AUUGAACGCUGGCGGCAGGCCUAACACAUGCAAGUCGAGCGGCAGCGACUUAACUGAACCUUCGGAGAACGUUAAGGGCGGCGAGCGGCGGACGGGUGAGUAAUGCCUGGGAAUAUGCCCUGAUGUGGGGGAUAACUAUUGGAAACGAUAGCUAAUACCGCAUAAUCUCUUCGGAGCAAAGAGGGGGACCUUCGGGCCUCUCGCGUCAGGAUUAGCCCAGGUGGGAUUAGCUUGUUGGUGAGGUAAUGGCUCACCAAGGCAACGAUCCCUAGCUGGUCUGAGAGGAUGAUCAGCCACACUGGAACUGAGACACGGUCCAGACUCCUACGGGAGGCAGCAGUGGGGAAUAUUGCACAAUGGGGGAAACCCUGAUGCAGCCAUGCCGCGUGUGUGAAGAAGGCCUUCGGGUUGUAAAGCACUUUCAGUAGGGAGGAAGGUAGUGUAGUUAACACCUGCACUAUUUGACGUUACCUACAGAAGAAGCACCGGCUAACUCCGUGCCAGCAGCCGCGGUAAUACGGAGGGUGCGAGCGUUAAUCGGAAUUACUGGGCGUAAAGCGCAUGCAGGCGGCCUGUUAAGUCAGAUGUGAAAGCCCGGGGCUUAACCUCGGAAUUGCAUUUGAAACUGGCAGGCUAGAGUCUUGUAGAGGGGGGUAGAAUUUCAGGUGUAGCGGUGAAAUGCGUAGAGAUCUGAAGGAAUACCAGUGGCGAAGGCGGCCCCCUGGACAAAGACUGACGCUCAGAUGCGAAAGCGUGGGGAGCAAACAGG
rnacentral:rRNA from 1 species